rnacentral:rRNA from 1 species
UGGGGAAUUUUGGACAAUGGGCGCAAGCCUGAUCCAGCCAUGCCGCGUGAGUGAAGAAGGCCUUCGGGUUGUAAAGCUCUUUCGCGAGGGAAGAAACGGUGCAGGCUAAUAUCCUGUGCUAAUGACGGUACCUUGAUAAGAAGCACCGGCUAACUACGUGCCAGCAGCCGCGGUAAUACGUAGGGUGCGAGCGUUAAUCGGAAUUACUGGGCGUAAAGCGUGCGCAGGCGGUUUUGUAAGACAGACGUGAAAUCCCCGGGCUUAACCUGGGAACUGCGUUUGUGACUGCAAGGCUAGAGUGUGGCAGAGGGGGGUAGAAUUCCACGUGUAGCAGUGAAAUGCGUAGAGAUGUGGAGGAAUACCGAUGGCGAAGGCAGCCCCCUGGGCUAACACUGACGCU